rnacentral:lncRNA from 1 species
GUUUGAGAUGGUGGUACAGCAUUCAAUAGAGCAAUGCCUACAUGAGCCUAAACAUUUGAAAAAAAAAAUUGGUUUAGGUCAGACAAAAAUGAGAACUAACUUAUAUGCUAAUUCACAGUGGUGAUAUUUUCAUGACCCGUUAGUACAACACGAAAUGCAAAGCAAAUCCUGAGCAACACGACCAAAGAAGAGCACAACUUAAAGCAGAAAGCUUGGCCCCGAUAGGUUCUUGAGAGAUAUCACUCGCAGGCCACGACAGCAAUUGUAGCUUUAGUAAGAAAACCAUGGAUAUAAAAAUUAUUCCAUCAAUCAAGCUCCAUAAUGUGACAAAAAGAAAAGGCAGAAGAUUAAAUGGUAAAGCCAGCAUUAAAAGACUCACUAAUAGCAAUCCAGGAACCAAGGACAUAAAAAUGUGGCCAUAUCCAAAUAAAAGAAAAUCUAUUUGUUGAGGUUCUAAUCCUAAAAGCAUCCCAAGCGCCCCUGGCAAAAAGAAUAAAUUGCCUAACUAAAUUAUAGCAACAAAACCGAGUAUAUAUAAGACCUGAAAAAGGAAACAAAGCAAUAUGAUUUCUAACCUAAGUCCGUUAUGGACAGUCUCACAAGGCCCGGCCACCACAAAAAUUUAUUGUUCAGUUUAUGAUUACUGAAUGAUAAAAAAGAUUAAGGAUCAUAUUCAUCUUCCCCAUAACUCCUAUGUAAUUUUAUGUAUACAAAUUUAUGAUCACAGAUAUGAAUAAGAAUUUGUCAUUCCAAAGUUUGAGCCAGACAAUGAUUUUAAGUUUGAAACUUAUGUUUAAGGUAGUGGGAAACAAGAGAUUUUACCUGCUUCAGUGCCCCAACAUCAUUUGUUCCAUCUCCACACAUCAAUGUCAUCCUACCAACUGUUUUGAAAGUAGUCAAGAUAAGUUCUUUCUGUUCAGGAGCAACUCGUGCGAAAACCUGAAAGCACUCAGAGUCAUAAAAAUCUAUACUUUGAUAAGUUUGCAUGGCAAUUACCAUAUUAAUAUAAAAAUCCUACUAACCUUAAUGUAAGGGAUGACUUUGAGAACAGCCUCGGUCCGCUGUAGCAUCUCAAAGCAGUCUCCACCUAUGCAAAGAUCAUGGGAAUCUGACAAUUCUUCCACCUCGUUCUCACUGUAGACACAAUUAACUUCUAAGUAUUAUAAUUUAAAGAUAACCGAUGUCAUAUCUUGGAAAGGUCAUAGCUUUGGCUCCAGAAAAACUGGUAAUGAUUAAACUAAAUAAAGAACAGAAACAAGAUACUCAAGCAGAUGAGAGGAAGACACAUAAAACAACACGCACAAAAUCAACUAUUGGAUACUUGAAAAAUAUAAGCUAUCAUACGUGAAACACCACAUUUUUAAGGAUUCUAGAAGUGUCGACACUUUAGGACACAGCACAAUGUGGUUGAACUCUUUCAUUUUGAAGUUCCUGCUGAAGUCAGCAAAAACGGCUGCCACUUGACACUUUUGAAGUGCCAUGUAGAAGACACAGUUUCAAGUGCUGCACACUUUGCGUCAUUAUGUUUUUGGGUAUAGAAUUAUCUUGGUUAACUAUCAAUUCAAGUAUUUUAACAUAUAUUAAGUAAUCUUAGAUGAACCUAAAAUUUUACUUAAAUUACUCACUACCAUUUUGUUUGUUAGAUAGCUUGUAUCUCUCUCUCCUUCCCCUCUUCAGUUUAUCUUUUAUGGGCAAGCAUCAAAACUAUGGCUUAUAUGUCUGCACAAGUACGCGUGUCCCAGUGCCUAGAAUUUUCAAGGCUACCAUGUCUGCACUUGAGGAUACCAGACAUCAGGCAUUCAUGCCAAGGGUUGAGGUAAUAUUGAAUAUAAGCAGCUUGCACUGAAUACCUAUUUACUAACAAGAGUAGAACUUUUACCUGUAGGGAGUUAUAUCAGUUUCAUCAGGUGAAACCCAUUCAAAACCUUCACCAGUUUCCUUGCGGGCCAAAAUCAAUGCAGGCUUUGAUAUGAUAUGAACUUGGCUGGCAACAUGGCAAGCUGUUAAAGCCUGGUCACCAGUAAUCAUUACCUAACACGAUGACAUCUGUUAGGACAUGGCAUGAUGGAUAGUUAAAACAAGUACUUCAGAAAGUUCUUAAUAUUCUCGAUUUCUAUAAAAUCGGUUACCAAAAAGGGAAAUGUCAUCUUAUAUCUGCAAUGGCCCGCUAAUGAGAAACAUGUAUUUGUUCAAAUGACUCACAAAACUCAUUAAAACGAAAAUAUAAAGAACAGAAACACAAAGCUAGUGGAAGGAAAAAGGAAAAAUAAAAAUAAGCAAUUCUUUAACCACAAAGCUAUAGCAUUGAAUCUCAGUUGAGUCAAACCUUUACUAAAAUUGCUUUGCAAUGUAAAAAAAUGUCAAUCUUUAAAGAUUACUUGAUGUUAAGUUUUGAUCAUAUGUUCAACCAAAUACAGAAUUCUAAUGUCUAACAUGUAGAUCCAGAUAUGAAAGUAAAGGAACUAAAAACAAUAUCUAUAACUCCAUUUUGUCCAACUUCAUUUAGGACACUUAUUAACUCCAUCAACAAAUUACCAAUUGUAGAUAGUAUCCAUACCUUAAGUGUAUGUUAUCUGUUUUAAUGGCAUAAGCUACAAAAACCUAUUGUUAGAAAGCCAUAAUUAUGUUUAAAUUGAAUAACCAUAACCAUCAAGCUUUCCCCCAACUAUAUAUUUUUGUCUUUUACAUGAAUCAAUUAUCAAAAAUAUAUUAAAAGAAUAAGAUUUUGAAAGAAAGAUAUUUUAUCUAAGGUCAGCGGAACCAUCCCAAACCGGAUGGUUCCAGCCAUUUCGAGCCGUACCGGCGGCUCACCGGUAUGGUUCCGGCAAUAGAAGUAAAAUCUAUUACUGAAGCCGGAUUAGGAGAAGGAAAGAAAGAUGGGAGCACGGGCGAAAGGCCGACGGAGGGUGGCGGACGCUGGUGAAGGGCCGAUGGAGGCCACAGGAGGCAAGGCGACGGUCGAAACCAUGUUUCAUUCGAAAUAGGAGAACCGGCCGCGGCCUCCGCCGGCGUCCGCCACCCUCCGCCGGCCUCCCUCCCCCUUCUCUCUCUCUCUCUUUUCCUCUCUCCCGUGGUCUGCGUGUCGUCUCCUCCGUCAGUACAGGCCCAGCACGAUCGAUACCGACUCGUGCUGCCGGAGAACCGGUAUGGUAUCCGAUACCGGUUCGCCGACCUUUAAUUUUAUUAUUAUAGCCAAUGCAUAGAUAGACCCAAAGAACUUACCAAGUCAUGUGAUGAUCCUUUCAAUUCACAUAAGACAGAACCAGAGUCAGGUCUGAUAGGACAAUUGAAAACCUAUAAAAGCAAAAUAAGCGUCAACCAAAACCUCAAGCAGCUUUUAUUUCAAUCAUCACUGGAAGAACAAUUGAAUGAUGAUAAAAUAUCACAAGAAAAAUAAGAUACAAAUCAAAAGCUUAAUUGGGUUCAAUUACCGCAAAACCAGCAAAAGUCAAACCACUCUCCACCAGAUCUCUAUCCAAGCUUCUAGCUUCACUUACCUGUAGUACAAAUAAACCUCAAGUCAAAACGAUAUAUCGAGAUCUAUAAAUGAUAAUAAAGCAAAAAAUCUUAAAAACAUUUUACAUGGAUAGAGAUUUCACUCUCAAUCUAUUGAUGCAUUCUCCCAUAUAUUUAUGGAACAAGGGGCCAAACAUGAAAAAUAAGACUAUAGCUAAUAAGCCUAAUGCUGCCAUGAGUAUAGCUCCAUAUUUUGCUUCCCAAAUUUCCAAAUAUUUCCAAAUGGCAUAUAUCAUCAUAGCAUUCAUUGGUUAUCUCGAGAUCAAUGUCUUCUCCCCAGUAUAACACCAAGGAUGGAUACUGAAUAUACAGCUGUACAGUGUGAAAGCCGGCCCAUAACUUGGUGAGGAAUAAAAGCAUGGGAGAAUCAAAUAUAUCAGAUCAUCCCAACAUUGUCAUAAUUCAAAAAGUUCCUCCUUGGUUAAAGCUGAACUUUGGGCAACAAGAAAGAUGGGACAGAGUUUCAAUAAUUUCAUCUAAAAAUAGCUUAAAAUUUCGUCGUAUUCCCUUUCAUUAAGACUUGCUACCAGAAAGCACUCCAAUCUGUAAGCUACUAAACUUCAUACCUCCAAAGAGGAUCAUAUAUUAUUUAGUGAAGAACAACAGACUACAAAAUUGACACUACAGCUUCAAGUGGAUUCAUGGUAUAUACAACAUAUAUGCACACACACACACACACACACACACACACACACACACACAUAUGUAUGUAUAUAUAUGUAGGUAAGUAAGUAAGUAUGUAUGUAUGUAUGUAUACACUUCUUGCAACAUGGCUGACACCUCUUAAGAGGUCCAAAAUGUCUUCCAUAUAAUUCCAACCUAUUGCACUACUAAUAAUUAAAAAGAAAACACCACUCUAACUCCAUAUCAAAACAUACUCCAUGUUACAAAGAAUAUUCACCUUUUGCAAGAUAUUACAAUCACCGCCUAGUUUGUACCCAAGUGCAACAGUACUGGCUGGCAACGAUUUGAUAUAUGCGGCUCCCUCUCAUGCAAUUAGAAUGAAUGAUUAAAUAUAGAGCACAUGAAGGAAAAGAUUAAUUAAUUGAUCUUGUCUGAUGUGUUUUCAGCUGUUAGCAGUUUUAGAUGUAAACUUUUAGUGUUUAACUUUAGGUGUCUAGAUGAUAGAGGUUGUGGUUGGUGAUUAAGUGGGGGCUUCAGUCUUCUUUAGUCUGAAGCAAGGAAAGAGUCGAUGUCAUCUAGUGUUGCAGACUCUUCAUGUGUAGCUAAUUGUCUAUCAUCAUCUUUUAUGGUACUUUUUAUGGUAUUGCAUGGACUCGGGCACAAGAAUUAGAUUCAGACAUUAUCCUCAAGAAUCUGACAAGGUAAGAGGAAAAAAGGUUAUACAGGGAUACAUUAAAAUAUUUUUAACCAAAAUACGUAUAUAUUAUAUAGAGGAAAAUGUUCAAAGAUAUUAUUUGCUCCUAUCUUCCAAUAGACAUCUUUCUCAUUCAAACUUACCAAUUAGCCCAAAAAUUUACAAAAGAUGCUACUUGGCAAAGUUAACUUAGUAGCUAAGUUCUCUACCAAUCUCUAAAAAGGGAAAGGGAAACUCUGUUUUAACAUUAUUAUAGUGGGUUGAACUCAAUUGAAAGAGUCAACCUCUCCACCAGUCUUAAAGCUUAAAUCACAAAAAUUUGAUGCAUCCAAAUGUCAAAAGUAUAUUGAAUUCAGAAAUAUAUGUAUCCUAGGACAUAUGUAUCCUAGGAGUCGAGUGUGAACGUCCAGGUAACACAGAUCACUGAAGGAAAAUAUAAUGAUUAAUGAUGAUACGUUAUCAUAUGUUAUCACAGGUUAUCAGAAGGAGAUUGUACAAGUGUUAACGUGCAAUUAAGAAGACUUUAUUAGAGAAGCACCACUUGUGAAACAGAACAAGUUGUUUAUAAGCAGCUCAUGUUUGGCUCAACAUUUAAUUCAUUAUUGGUUUGUCCGAUCAGCAGACAAUCGACAAGAUUUUAAACUUGGAAAUAAAUGAACUGAACAUAAGCUGGGCCUAAUCAUAUUUCUCUCAAUAUAUCAAAAUGUAAAUACAUAAACAAGUACACUUAUUUUUUUGAUUACCUAUAGAUAAAAAAAUAGUUUGAUAUUUAUAAUUAGUAAUUAAUGAAUCUAUCCAAGUAACUACCACAUAUAUUAGAUCUGAAUCCAAUUGCUCCAAUUUUUAUUUGCAUAUAAACAUUGGAACAAUUAGAUUCAUAGACCUAAUAGCUCAAAAGUGUUAUUUGCUUAUAAACAUCCGGCACUAGAUUCAAAUCUAAUGCCUCAUUUUGAUGGGAGCAAACUGAAAGGUGCUAUAGCACUUUUGGUAUCCCAAAGCUGCAGCUGCCACCAUCUUUCUCUCCUCUAUUUGCAUCCCUCCUCUGCCUUAGACAUCCAACUCCAUUGCCCCCGUCCUACCUCAUCCUCGUCAUUUCAUGAAAUAAGGCAUCUCAUCCCUCUUGGUCAUCUCUCUCUUAGCCUUUGGACUUCUGCCUCUCCAUCGCAUCAAUCUAGGCACCAAGGGCAAUCAAAACAUCAUAAGUCUCUUCCUGCUAACUCCAUUAAUCUCAACAUCAUCUGGAGAUUCAGAUCUAAGGUCUGGUUUGAGACUUGAAAGAUAAGAGAUAGGAGAUGGAGGGAUUGGUUUGCCUCUGUAAGCAUAUUAGGCUUGGGUUUUUCUCUGUAAUCACUAGGAAAACAUCCACACUUAACAAUGUCAAGCCAAUGUGAGUGGAGCACGAGAAAACGAGUCAACCUUGACCCACUCUUUCUAACUCAACUUAAGCUCAAGCUAACCAUCUUUACACCUCUAGUGGAAAAAUAAAAGAUAUACCAUCAUCAACAUUAAUGCUUACAUGACAAGCCCCUUGAUGUAGAUCUAAAACCGUGCCAUGAUACAUCAUAGGAAUGAAGAGCUGAGAUUAAAAGAUUGCAAACUAUGUUUGACAACUUGAUAAGACUAACUACUGUAGCAAACUGUUCAAAGCAUUGUUCACACUAUAGUCCCUGGAAAAACAAAGUGUAUUUUAGGGGGAUAAUUUUGGAAUUAUCAAGUAGAGUUGAGUUAAGGUUUUUCUUUACAUACAUACACACACACAAACACACAUAUAGUCACAAGUGGUGUACAGGUUUUAUGCUUUCAUGACUAAAUAAAGAUGAAGUUUUCUUGGGGUGAAAAAUCACUGUUCCAAUUUAACCCCUGUGUGAGGCAUUGAUAUAGCCUGAGAACAAUCCCUAGGUGUGAUUCCUAGGUUUCAGAGAGCCCGGUAUCAUCUGUUAUCUUUCCUUUCAGCAUCUUUACACCUCUAGUGGAAAAUAAAAGGUAUGCUAGCAUCAACAUUAAUGAUUAUGUGACAAGACCCUUGAUGAACAUCCAAAACCAUGUCAUGAUGCAUCAUAGGGCAGGAUUUUUAUUAGACUUAAUUUUAGCCAUAAAUUUUCUAUAUUUUCCGGUUGUUUUUAACUUUAGUGGAUUACUUUGGAACGAAGGGUUGAGAUUGAAAGAUUGCAAUCUUUAUUUGAUUGCUUGAUAAGGCUGAUUACUGAAGUGAUACCAUCCAUGCAUUGUCCGCACUAUAGUAACCUUAAAACCUAAGUGUUUUUUAGUGGGGAUAAUUUUGGAAUUAUGAAGUAGAUUCAAGUUAAGGUUUUUCUAUAUAUAUAGUCCCAAGUGGUGAUGGGCUUUAUGUUUUCAUGAUUGAAUAAAGAAGAAGUUUUCUAGCAAAAAAAUCACUAUUGCAAUUCAAUCCCUGUGUGAGGCAUGGAUCUGACAUGAGAACAAUCCCUAGGUGUCAUUCAUAGGUUUCAGAGAGUCCAAUAUCAUAUUUUUAUCUUUCCUUUCAUUCUUUAUUUUCAUAAUAAUUUGUAUUUUACUUUAUUUUUUUAUUUAUUUCUUUCGUUUC